GGGCUUCGUGACCGGUCUACACCGGGAUGUUCAUAACCCUUUGCUGUCCGACUCUGUUGCCUCCGGGGCGACCCUGCCUUCGGGCGGGGGCUCCGGGUGGACACUUCAAACUCUUGCGUAACUUUGCAGUCUGAGUAAACUUAAUUAAUAAAUUAAAACUUUUAACAACGGAUCUCUUGGUUCUGGCAUCGAUGAAGAACGCAGCGAAAUGCGAUAAGUAAUGUGAAUUGCAGAAUUCAGUGAAUCAUCGAAUCUUUGAACGCACAUUGCGCCCUUUGGUAUUCCAAAGGGCAUGCCUGUUCGAGCGUCAUUUGUACCCUCAAGCUUUGCUUGGUGUUGGGCGUCUUGUCUCUAGCUUUGCUGGAGACUCGCCUUAAAGUAAUUGGCAGCCGGCCUACUGGUUUCGGAGCGCAGCACAAGUCGCACUCUCUAUCAGCAAAGGUCUAGCAUCCAUUAAGCCUUUUUUUCAACUUUUGACCUCGGAUCAGGUAGGGAUACCCGCUGAACUUAAGCAUAUCAAUAAGCGGAGGA
rnacentral:sRNA from 1 species